GUGUUGUUGUUCUUCUU
rnacentral:sRNA from 1 species